AUGUUCUUACUCAAGCUAGGCAAAAACAGCUUUUAUAUGGGGGCUUGCACAGCUCUGCACACCCAGCAGACACUGAUGACUGCUACCCAGUUCCAGCUAUUUAGAACAUUGGAAUUGAAACUCUUGAUUUGUGCUUUCUUGCUUUAUCACAGAUCAAAGGAAUUCAAGGAGUUCACCCACGUAUAUCAAGCACCUAGAAAAGUGUCAGGCACAUGGGAAGUGCUCAAUAAACGUUUGCUGAAGGAAUGUCCAAGGUCUGGUGAGGAGUGGAGGAGGAGGUGCGAAGAAGAUGGCCAGCUUGCUCCCUGCGU
rnacentral:lncRNA from 1 species